rnacentral:misc_RNA from 1 species
AAAUUAAGGUUUUCAAACAUAGCUUAAUUUUAGACCAACUACAAGACAACCUCCUAGUCCACUCCAUAUAUGUUGUAAGCCAGUACAAAUAUUGAAUAAGCCAUUAGCUUCUAAAGUUUCAAAAGCAACAAUUCGAAGAUGAGCAGAACCAGCACCUUGGUUAACUUCGGUAAAUACCUUUGGAUGGAGCAUCUUGCUUAAUGCUUCUGCAGCAAAACCAAAGUAAAACCACCUCUUGCUCCGUAUAAGUUUGUAUAAGUUGCAAACCAGUACAAAUAUCGAACAAGAUAUCAGCUUCUGAAGCUUCAAAAGCAACAUCAAAGACAAGCAGAACC